UGAAUACGAGACGCUAAGGCGUCGAAGUAGUGUAUGUCAUACUUCCAAGAAAAGCUUGCACUGUCAUAGAUAAAAAACGCCUGUACCAUAACCGACACAGGUGGGUAGGUAGAGUAUACUAAGGGGCGCGAGAUAACUCUCUCUAAGGAACUCGGCAAAAUAACUCCGUAACUUCGGGAGAAGGAGUGCCUUAUUCGUAAGGUUGCAAUAACAAGAUCCAAGCAACUGUUUAUCAAAAACACAGGUCUCCGCUAAGUCGUAAGACGAUGUAUGGGGGCUGACGCCUGCCCAGUGCCAGAAGGUUAAAGAAGUUGGUUAGCAAUUGCGAGGCUGAUAACUGAAGCCCUGGUGAACGGCGGCCGUAACUAUAACGGUCCUAAGGUAGCGAAAUUCCUUGUCGGGUAAGUUCCGACCCGCACGAAAGGCGUAAUGAUUUGGAUACUGUCUCGGAGAGGGGCUCGGUGAAAUAGACUUGUCUGUGAAGAUGCGGACUACCUGCACCAGGACAGAAAGACCCUAUGAAGCUUUACUGUAACUUGAAAUUGAAAUUGGACUUUAUUCGCGCAGUAUAGGUGGGAGGCGUUGAUUAUAAUCUUGUGGGAUUAUUGGAGCCAUCAGUGAGAUACCACUCUUGUAAUGUUAGAUUUCUAACUUUGAAUCAUUAUCUGGUCAAAGAACAGUUUCAGGCGGGCAGUUUGACUGGGGCGGUCGCCUCCUAAACGGUAACGGAGGCGUACAAAGGUUUCCUCUGAACGGUUAGAAAUCGUAUCUAGAGUGUAAAGGCAUAAGGAAGCUUGACUGUGAGACCUACAAGUCGAGCAGGGACGAAAGUCGGUCUUAGUGAUCUGACGGUACUGAGUGGAAAGGCCGUCACUCAACGGAUAAAAGUUACUCUAGGAUAACAGGCUGAUCUCCCCCAAGAGUUCACAUCGACGGGGAGGUUUGGCACCUCGAUGUCGGCUCAUCGCAUCCUGGGGCGGUAGUACGUCCCAAGGGUUGGGCUGUUCGCCCAUGAAAGCGGUACGCGAGCUGGGUUCAGAACGUCGUGAGACAGUUCGGUCCAUAUCCGGUGUAGGCGUUAGAAUAUUGAGAGGAGCCUUCUUUAGUACGAGAGGACCGAGAAGGACAUACCUCUGGUGUACCAGUUAUCGUGCCAACGGUAAACGCUGGGUAGCUAUGUAUGGAGUGGAUAACCGCUGAAAGCAUCUAAGUGGGAAGCCCACCUCAAGAUAAG
rnacentral:rRNA from 1 species